CGUAGGGCGAGCGUUGUCCGAAGUUACUGGCGUAAGCGCGCGUAGGCGGUCAUUAAGUUCGGGUGAAGGUUCAGCGCUCAACGCGAACAGUGCCUUGAAUACUGGGUGACUUGAGUUCGGAGAGGGCAGUGGAAUUCCUGGUGUAGCGGUGAAAUGCGUAGAUAUCAGGAGGAACACCGAUGGCGAAGGCAGCUGCCUGGCCUAGAACUGACGCUGAGGUGCGAAAGCGUGGGAGCGAACGGAUU
rnacentral:rRNA from 1 species